UGGGGAAUUUUGGACAAUGGGCGAAAGCCUGAUCCAGCAAUGCUGCGUGUGUGAAGAAGGCCUUCGGGUUGUAAAGCACUUUUGUCCGGAAAGAAAUCCUCUGGGUUAAUACCUCGGGGGGAUGACGGUACCGGAAGAAUAAGCACCGGCUAACUACGUGCCAGCAGCCGCGGUAAUACGUAGGGUGCAAGCGUUAAUCGGAAUUACUGGGCGUAAAGCGUGCGCAGGCGGUUUUGUAAGACGGAUGUGAAAUCCCCGGGCUUAACCUGGGAACUGCAUUCGUGACUGCAAGGCUAGAGUAUGGCAGAGGGGGGUAGAAUUCCACGUGUAGCAGUGAAAUGCGUAGAGAUGUGGAGGAAUACCGAUGGCGAAGGCAGCCCCCUGGGCCAAUACUGACGCUCAUGCACGAAAGCGUGGGGAGCAAACAGGAUUAGAUACCCUGGUAGUCCACGCCCUAAACGAUGUCAACUAGUUGUUGGGGAUUCAUUUCCUUAGUAACGUAGCUAACGCGUGAAGUUGACCGCCUGGGGAGUACGGUCGCAAGAUUAAAACUCAAAUGAAUUGACGGGGUCAUAGCUGUUUCCUG
rnacentral:rRNA from 1 species